GGUUAAGUUAGAAAGGGCGCACGGUGGAUGCCUUGGCACUAGGAGCCGAUGAAGGACGGGACGAACACCGAUAUGCUUCGGGGAGCUGUAAGCAAGCUUUGAUCCGGAGAUUUCCGAAUGGGGAAACCCACCACUCGUAAUGGAGUGGUAUCCAUAUCUGAAUACAUAGGAUAUGAGAAGGCAGACCCGGGGAACUGAAACAUCUAAGUACCCGGAGGAAGAGAAAGCAAAUGCGAUUCCCUGAGUAGCGGCGAGCGAAACGGGACCAGCCCAAACCAAGAGGCUUGCCUCUUGGGGUUGUAGGACACUCUGUACGGAGUUACAAAGGAACGAGGUAGAUGAAGAGGUCUGGAAAGGCCCGCCAUAGGAGGUAACAGCCCUGUAGUCAAAACUUCGUUCUCUCCUGAGUGGAUCCUGAGUACGGCGGAACACGUGAAAUUCCGUCGGAAUCCGGGAGGACCAUCUCCCAAGGCUAAAUACUCCCUAGUGACCGAUAGUGAACCAGUACCGUGAGGGAAAGGUGAAAAGCACCCCGGAAGGGGAGUGAAAGAGAUCCUGAAACCGUGUGCCUACAAGUAGUCAGAGCCCGUUAACGGGUGAUGGCGUGCCUUUUGUAGAAUGAACCGGCGAGUUACGAUCCCGUGCAAGGUUAAGCAGAAGAUGCGGAGCCGCAGCGAAAGCGAGUCUGAAUAGGGCGAAUUGAGUACGUGGUCGUAGACCCGAAACCAGGUGAUCUACCCAUGUCCAGGGUGAAGUUCAGGUAACACUGAAUGGAGGCCCGAACCCACGCACGUUGAAAAGUGCGGGGAUGAGGUGUGGGUAGGGGUGAAAUGCCAAUCGAACCUGGAGAUAGCUGGUUCUCUCCGAAAUAGCUUUAGGGCUAGCCUCAAGGUAAGAGUCUCGGAGGUAGAGCACUGAUUGGACUAGGGGCCCCUACCGGGUUACCGAAUUCAGUCAAACUCCGAAUGCCGAUGACUUAUCCUUGGGAGUCAGACUGCGAGUGAUAAGAUCCGUAGUCAAAAGGGAAACAGCCCAGACCGCCAGCUAAGGUCCCAAAGUAUACGUUAAGUGGAAAAGGAUGUGGAGUUGCUUAGACAACCAGGAUGUUGGCUUAGAAGCAGCCACCAUUUAAAGAGUGCGUAAUAGCUCACUGGUCGAGUGACUCUGCGCCGAAAAUGUACCGGGGCUAAACGUAUCACCGAAGCUGCGGACUGUUCUUCGAACAGUGGUAGGAGAGCGUUCUAAGGGCUGUGAAGCAAGACCGGAAGGACUUGUGGAGCGCUUAGAAGUGAGAAUGCCGGUAUGAGUAGCGAAAGAGGGGUGAGAAUCCCCUCCACCGAAUGCCUAAGGUUUCCUGAGGAAGGCUCGUCCGCUCAGGGUUAGUCGGGACCUAAGCCGAGGCCGAAAGGCGUAGGCGAUGGAUAACAGGUUGAUAUUCCUGUACCACCUCCUCACCAUUUGAGCAAUGGGGGGACGCAGGAGGAUAGGGUAAGCGCGGUAUUGGAUAUCCGCGUCCAAGCAGUUAGGCUGGGAAAUAGGCAAAUCCGUUUCCCGUGAAGGCUGAGCUGUGAUGGCGAGCGAAUUAUAGUAGCGAAGUUCCUGAUUCCACACUGCCAAGAAAAGCCUCUAGCGAGGUGAGAGGUGCCCGUACCGCAAACCGACACAGGUAGGCGAGGAGAGAAUCCUAAGGUGAUCGAGAGAACUCUCGUUAAGGAACUCGGCAAAAUGACCCCGUAACUUCGGGAGAAGGGGUGCUCUGUUAGGGUGCAAGCCCGAGAGAGCCGCAGUGAAUAGGCCCAGGCGACUGUUUAGCAAAAACACAGGUCUCUGCGAAGCCGUAAGGCGAAGUAUAGGGGCUGACGCCUGCCCGGUGCUGGAAGGUUAAGAGGAGCGCUUAGCGUAAGCGAAGGUGCGAAUUGAAGCCCCAGUAAACGGCGGCCGUAACUAUAACGGUCCUAAGGUAGCGAAAUUCCUUGUCGGGUAAGUUCCGACCCGCACGAAAGGCGCAACGAUCUGGGCACUGUCUCAACGAGAGACUCGGUGAAAUUAUAGUACCUGUGAAGAUGCAGGUUACCCGCGACAGGACGGAAAGACCCCGUGGAGCUUUACUGCAGCCUGAUAUUGAAUGUUGGUACAGCUUGUACAGGAUAGGUAGGAGCCUUGGAAACCGGAGCGCCAGCUUCGGUGGAGGCAUCGGUGGGAUACUACCCUGGCUGUAUUGACCUUCUAACCCGCCGCCCUUAUCGGGCGGGGAGACAGUGUCAGGUGGGCAGUUUGACUGGGGCGGUCGCCUCCUAAAAGGUAACGGAGGCGCCCAAAGGUUCCCUCAGAAUGGUUGGAAAUCAUUCGCAGAGUGUAAAGGCACAAGGGAGCUUGACUGCGAGACCUACAAGUCGAGCAGGGACGAAAGUCGGGCUUAGUGAUCCGGUGGUUCCGCAUGGAAGGGCCAUCGCUCAACGGAUAAAAGCUACCCCGGGGAUAACAGGCUUAUCUCCCCCAAGAGUCCACAUCGACGGGGAGGUUUGGCACCUCGAUGUCGGCUCAUCGCAUCCUGGGGCUGUAGUCGGUCCCAAGGGUUGGGCUGUUCGCCCAUUAAAGCGGUACGCGAGCUGGGUUCAGAACGUCGUGAGACAGUUCGGUCCCUAUCCGUCGCGGGCGCAGGAAAUUUGAGAGGAGCUGUCCUUAGUACGAGAGGACCGGGAUGGACGCACCGCUGGUGUACCAGUUGUUCUGCCAAGGGCAUCGCUGGGUAGCUAUGUGCGGACGGGAUAAGUGCUGAAAGCAUCUAAGCAUGAAGCCCCCCUCAAGAUGAGAUUUCCCAUUCCGCAAGGAAGUAAGAUCCCUGAAAGAUGAUCAGGUUGAUAGGUCUGAGGUGGAAGUGUGGCGACACAUGGAGCUGACAGAUACUAAUCGAUCGAGGACUUAACCAA
rnacentral:rRNA from 2 species